GUGAGUAACGCGUGAGAACCUACCGUAUGGAGGGGGAUAACAAUGGGAAACUGUUGCUAAUACCGCAAAAGCUGAGGAGCUAAAAGGUGAAAAACCGCCAUGUGAGGGGCUUGCGUCUGAUUAGCUAGUUGGGGAGGUAAUGGCUUCCCAAGGCCACGAUCAGUAGCUGGUCUGAGAGGAUGAUCAGCCACACUGGGACUGAGACACGGCCCAGACUCCUACGGGAGGCAGCAGUGAGGAAUUUUCCGCAAUGGGCGAAAGCCUGACGGAGCAAUGCCGCGUGGAGGAAGACGGCCCGUGGGUUGUAAACUCCUUUUCUCAGAGAAGAAGAUCUGACGGUAUCUGAGGAAUAAGCAACGGCUAAAUAAAAUUGGCCCAACAAAAAUGAAUUUUUGUGUGCAUGAUUUGGCUCAUUACGGGGAAACCUAAAAGACAAGAAUACAAAUAGUAGACUGAUGGCCUUUGUUUUUACCUUUUGGUUAGAUAUGUAUCUAAAAAAACAAAAGGUCUGACAAAAGUCUUUAGUUUAUACCAUAAGGUAUUCUUUAGCCUAAGGUGAUCCCGUGGGAAGUUAACUUCGUUUAACCCCGUAACGACUGAAGAAAUGUUGAUUCUCUAAAAACAAGAAAAAACAAAGUAUGAGGUGAAAUAGUUUGACUAUUUUGCAAAACGCCAAACUCUGUUGAUUUCGUUAAACUUUUGUUUUUACCUUUUUGUUAAAAACAAAAGGCAAAGGCUAUCGUUAACUUCGUUAACGGGAACGUUAACGGGACCAACAGAU
rnacentral:rRNA from 1 species